rnacentral:rRNA from 1 species
CCCUUAGAUGUUCUGGGCCGCACGCGUGCUACACUGAGUGGAUCAGCGGGUCAGGUUGCGCGAAAGCGUUUCCUAAUCUUUAAAUCCGCUCGUGAUGGGGAUUGACGGUUGCAAUUUUCUGUCAUGAACGAGGAAUACCUUGUAAGCGCGGGUCAUCAUCCCGCGCUGAAUACGUCCCUGCCCUUUGUACACACCGCCCGUCGCUCCUACCGAUUGAGUGGUCCGGUGAGGCUUUGGGAUCUGAGCGGAAAGAGCGUUUCGCUGUUUCUGCUCGGAAAACUCAGUCGAACCUUAUCAUUUAGAGUAAGGAGAAGUCGUAACA